UACGUAGGGGGCAAGCGUUGUCCGGAUUUAUUGGGCGUAAAGAGCGUGUAGGCGGCCAUACAGGUCAGCUGUGAAAACUCGAGGCUCAACCUCGAGACGUCGGUUGAAACCGUUUGGCUAGAGUCCGGAAGAGGAGAGUGGAAUUCCCGGUGUAGCGGUGAAAUGCGCAGAUAUCGGGAAGAACACCCGUGGCGAAGGCGGCUCACUGGACCGGUAUUGACGCUGAGGUGCGAAAGCGUGGGGAGCAAACAGG
rnacentral:rRNA from 1 species